rnacentral:antisense_RNA from 1 species
AGAUGCCCACUCACUUCCACCAGGGGAAAGCCUGCCUGAGAAUGAAGCCAACUGAGAAGAGGAAAAGAAGAUGGAGUCCUAAUGGCACAUUUAGAUCCAGCCCCCAUAAAGCCAGUUCCACUCCUAAGUGUCUCAGUUACUUGAGGCAAUAUAGAUUCCCUUUUCCCCUUCUUGUUGGAUUUCUGAUUCCUUUUUCUCCUUCUUGUUGGAUUUCUGAUGUGUUCAUCUCUGAAUCUUGACUGACAUAAACUUCUGAUGCUAACGUUUGAGAAUCUACGAAGAUUAACCAAUCGUGCCCACGUGGAAAACUACAUGAAUUAAGAAAGCAUAAGCCAUGAGGUACAAGGAAAUGCAAGUUCAUGGAAAUUAGAAAUAAUACCAAAAUGUGAAUAAGACCGGGUUUAGAGGUCGCAUGGAAUCUGCUGAAUAUGGUUGUCUGGAGUGAUUUUUUGGCCUUCUCAGUUUGCCAAGACAGUGUACCAGGAGGCACCGUGUUCAUUGUGGCAUUACAAAGAUAAAGGCACA